GAAAUGCGAUAAGUAAUGUGAAUUGCAGAAUUCCGUGAAUCAUCGAAUCUUUGAACGCACAUUGCGCCCUCUGGUAUUCUGGGGGGCAUGCCUGUCCGAGCGUCAUUGCGAACCCCUCAAGCACGGCUUGUGUGAUGGGCCCUCCCGCGUCUUGGUCGUCAAGACGGGCCCGAAAUGCAGUGGCGGCUUCGCGGUUAUCCGAUCAGCCAGAGCGUAUGGGGACUUUCUCUCUGUCACACGCCCGCGGCGCGGACCGACGCCUGUCGACCUUUAUUCAUCUUUUUCUCGGUUGACCUCGGAUCAGGUAGGGAUACCCGCUGAACUUAAGC
rnacentral:misc_RNA from 1 species